UACGUAGGGUGCAAGCGUUGUCCGGAAUUAUUGGGCGUAAAGAGCUAGCGUAGGCGGUUUGUCGCGUCGGCUGUGAAAAACCUGAGGCUCAACCUCAGGCCUGCAGUCGAUACGGGCAGGACUAGAGUCCGGCAGGGGAGACUGGAAUUCCUGGUGUAGCGGUGAAAUGCGCAGAUAUCAGGAGGAACACCGGUGGCGAAGGCGGGUCUGCUGGGCCGGAACUGACGCUGAGGAGCGAAAGCGUGGGGAGCGAACAGG
rnacentral:rRNA from 1 species